rnacentral:rRNA from 1 species
UACGAACCGUCCAAACGUUAUUCGGAAUCACUGGGCUUAAAGGGUGCGUAGGCGGCCCGGUAAGUUGGGUGUGAAAUCCCACGGCUCAACCGUGGAAUUGCGCCCAAAACUGUCGGGCUCGAGGGAGAUAGAGGUAAGCGGAACUUAGGGUGGAGCGGUGAAAUGCGUUGAUAUCCUAAGGAACACCGGUGGCGAAAGCGGCUUACUGGGUCUCUUCUGACGCUGAGGCACGAAAGCUAGGGGAGCGAACGGG